rnacentral:lncRNA from 1 species
UGUAGGGAUGUCAAUGGAUGUAGAUAUCUAAAAUUUUAUCCGAAUCUGAACUCAAACGAAACAGAUUUACUCAAUACUAAAUGAAUAUGAUUUCAGAUACGAAUAUAAAAAUUAAAAAUUCAACAAAUUUGGAUAUAGGUAUGAAUUUUGUCGCAAAUCUGAAUAGAUUUUACAUUGUAUAAUAUAUAUAAAUAUUUGAUCUAUAUGUUUGUAUUUGUAUUUUAGAAAUUUAAAUUUUAUUAUAAUAUGUUGUGAAAUAGAGUAAAGAGAAAUUAUGAAUAGGUCUUGUAUGCUAUUAGGAGCACGGAGGUCUUCGUGCUCCUAAGCCGUUUUCGAUUAUAGAGCUUUCGAAUCAAUAAUCGACUAGUUAAACUUAAUCUAACGUAUUUGUAGUAUCUAGAAAAUAAAUUUUGUGAUUUUUUGAUAUCUUUUAUCUAACAAUCGAAAGAGUUUAAAAUCAAUAAUUUCUAAUGGUUAAUGUAUAUUGUUGGCAAGUUUAAUGGUAUAGAAGUAUGAAAAUUAGAUGAAAUUUUGAUAAAAAUUCUUUGUACUAUUUAUUGCAAGAUCAAUAUCUCUGAUCGAAAAUUUUAGUACUAUAUCACCACUUUUUCUGAGAUUUUUAUUUUCAGCCGUUGAUUUUAAACCCUUUCAAUAACUAAGUAAAUAAUAUCGAAAAAUCGCAAAAUUUAUUUUCUAGUUUUUACAAAUAUGAUAGAUCAAGUCUAACGGAGCCGAUCGUCGAUUCAGAAGCUCCACCAUCAAAAACGGCUUAGAAGCACGAAGACCUUCGUGCUCCUAAUAGCACACAAAACCUACUCGAGAAAUUAUUACUUCAUAUUCGAUAUUUCAGAUUUGGGCUCGACUUUCGUCUUUUCGAUCAA